GACGAACGCUGGCGGCGUGCCUAAUACAUGCAAGUAGAACGCUGAAGGAGGAGCUUGCUUCUCUGGAUGAGUUGCGAACGGGUGAGUAACGCGUAGGUAACCUGCCUGGUAGCGGGGGAUAACUAUUGGAAACGAUAGCUAAUGCCGCAUAAGAGUAGAUGUUGCAUGACAUUUACUUAAAAGGUGCAAUUGCAUCACUACCAGAUGGACCUGCGUUGUAUUAGCUAGUUGGUGAGGUAACGGCUCACCAAGGCAACGAUACAUAGCCGACCUGAGAGGGUGAUCGGCCACACUGGGACUGAGACACGGCCCAGACUCCUACGGGAGGCAGCAGUAGGGAAUCUUCGGCAAUGGACGGAAGUCUGACCGAGCAACGCCGCGUGAGUGAAGAAGGUUUUCGGAUCGUAAAGCUCUGUUGUAAGAGAAGGACGAGUGUGAGAGUGGAAAGUUCACACUGUGACGGUAUCUUACCAGAAAGGGACGGCUAACUACGUG
rnacentral:rRNA from 1 species